rnacentral:rRNA from 1 species
CGGUCCAGACUCCUACGGGAGGCAGCAGUGGGGAAUAUUGGACAAUGGGGGAAACCCUGAUCCAGCAAUGCCAUGUGUGUGAAGAAGGCCUUAGGGUUGUAAAGCACUUUAGUUAGGGAAGAAGUUUAUAAAGUUAAUAACCUUAUAAAUUGACAUCACCUAAAGAAUAAGCACCGGCUAACUCCGUGCCAGCAGCCGCGGUAA